rnacentral:rRNA from 1 species
CUACCGCUAUUGGAGUUCGAUUAAGCCAUGCGAGUCGAGAGUCCUCGGGACUCGGCGUACCGCUCAGUAACACGUGGGUAACCUGCCCUAUGCUGGGGAAUAACCUCGGGAAACUGAGAAUAAUGCCCCAUAGCCCACUACGCCUGGAACGGUGAGUGGGUCAAAGCCCCGGCGGCAUAGGAUGGGCCUGCGCCGUAUCAGGUUGUAGGGGGUGUAAAGUACCCUCUAGCCAUCAACGCGUACGGGUGUUGGGAGACAUUGCCCGGAGAUGGAUUCUGAGACACGAAUCCAGACCCUACGGGGUGCAGCAGGCGCGAAAACUUGGCAAUGCGAGAAAUCGUGACCAGGGAACUCCAAGUGCGUAGGGUAAGACCUACGCUUUUCUUGACUCUUCAAAGGUCUUGGAAUAAGGGGUGGGUAAGGACGGUGCCAGCCGCCGCGGUAAUACCGGCGCCUCAAGUGGUAGUCGCUUUUAUUGGGCCUAAAACGUCCGUAGCCGGUCUGGUGCAUUCGUGGGCGAAUCAACCCGCUCAACGGGUUGAAUUCUGCGAGCACGGCCAGACUUGGGACCGGGAGAGGUGUGGGGUACUCUCAGGGUAGGGGUAAAAUCCUGUCAUCCUGAGAGGACCACCUGUUGCGAAGGCGCCACACUAGAACGGAUCCGACGGUCAGGGACGAAACCUAGGGGCACGAACCGGAUUAGAUACCCGGGUAGUCCUAGGUGUAAACGCUG